AGGGGAAAGGGGAUCGGGUCAUAACAACAAAACCCUAAAAUGUAGCUUAACAAUCGUAUAUCUAGUGCUGGGUUUGAGCACUUCUCCUCUUCCUAAGUUUUUGGGUUAAUCAGAGGCACCACUUCCUUCAAACUCGUUGUCCUUCUAAUUCCCACCAAAGAGAAUUACAAAAAGCUGAAAAUGGAAAAAGAAACCGUUUUUUGGCGCUUACAUUUUUUCACAAUUUUGGCUCCAAAAGAAUUUCAGGAUAACCACCAUAUAUGUGAGAAAAUAAACGAAGAAGUUACAUUGGAAAGUGAAGCAGAAUUUCUGCACCUGAGCAAGAAGACCAGAAUUUUGCAAAUCAAUGGCACCAGGAGGACGUAUCUUCAAACAAAUUACACUUACAGGGGAAACUAUUCAAGCUACUCAAUCCCCAGAUGAAUCAAAUAACCUUACUCCCGCUGUUAAUACAGAUGAUUCCCCUAGGAUCAGGAAUGGUCGUGGCAAGACUAGAGGGAAAGGUCUUGAAAGGAUGAGGAAGACUAUGGGAAGCAAGAUGAAAAUUGAGAUCCCAGUUGGUAAAGGGAGGCCAACUAAGCCAACUCAAUCGGCAAAAUUAUCCAAUGAACUAGGGAUAAUUGCUAGAAAUUUUCUUUCACUUCCAAACAAGUGGAAGGAACUCACAAGAGAGGACAAAGAUGCAACACUAAUUAGAUGCCACGAGAAGUUUGAAAUUGAUUUGGACGAGCAUUACGUGAAAGAUAGUUGUGAGGAUAUUUUGAAAAAUAGAAGCCGACAAUGGCAGUACAAGUUAAAACAACUUAUUUGAAAGUGCACGUUCGGAGGAAGAAACUCGUAAAUUGAAGUGCCAGAGUUGACUCGAGAAAAUUGGAAUAAGCUUUGUGACAUGUGGGCUGAUCCAGAGCAUAAGAAACGAUGCGACAUAAACAGGGCCAAUCGAAGUAAGCUUAAAAUUAAUCACUUCAUGGGGUCAAAAGCGUUUGUACCGGCUCGUGCUGAACUUGCUGAAAAUGGAGUAGAGCCUGAUAGAAUCGAGUUCUACAAGAGUACUCAUUACUCGACUGAAAAAGGAUGGUCAUCUCUAGAGGCUGAGACAAACUAUGGUGCAUAAAAGGUCUCGGUUAUGGUCCGAAACCUGAUACUACCAGAGCCAUACAAAGAAGAACAACAGAGUUAGAAGACUCCCUUAGAAAGACGAAAGAGGAAGCUGCUAGUGCCCAACAUGAUUUACAGAAACGAUUAAAUGCAGCUGAAGUUGUGGUAGAAACCCAGCAGUCCAAGAUAGAAAACCAGCAGUCCCAGAUAGAAACUCAGCAGGCCCAGAUACAAGCAUUAAAUUCUCAAUUGGUUACUUUAGCAGCACGCCAAGAGGAAAUGUUUAAAAAAAUGCAACAUUUUGCUAGCUCAUCACCAUCAAGGUAUUAAAUGUGGGAAUUGAAUCAAGACUGAUUGCAAGCUAAGUGUCACCAUAUUAUUAGUAUUUUGGAAGAAACCUGCACUAUCUGUCUUAGUUUAGGAGUAAUAUUUCGUAUAUUUCAGUUGGAUUGGUACUUUGGAAGAAACUGCAUUGUCUAUCUUAGUUUAGGAGUAGUAUUUAGUAUAUUUCAGUUGGAUUUUCUUGUUAGCAGACAUAUUUUACUUUUAUUUAGGAAUUUGUAAUGAGAUAUGAUCUCAGUACAAUUUUAGUUGUUAAUUGUUUGAUCAUGGGUGAAUUGUAUCA